rnacentral:rRNA from 1 species
GUCAAUGGGCGCAAGUCUGAACCAGCCAUGCCGCGUGCAGGAAGAAGGAUCUAUGGUGUGUAAACUGCUUUUGUACGGGAAGAAACUGCGCUACGUGUACCGUCUUGACUGUACCGUGAGAAUAAGGAUCGGCUAACUCCGUGCCAGCAGCCGCGGUAAUACAA